rnacentral:rRNA from 1 species
UACGUAGGCAGCAAGCGUUGUUCGGAAUUACUGGGCGUAAAGGGCGCGUAGGCGGUUUGCAUAGUCAGACGUGAAAUUCCUGGGCUUAACCUGGGGGCUGCGUUUGAUACAUGCAGGCUUGAGUUCGGAAGAGGGUCGUGGAAUUCCCAGUGUAGAGGUGAAAUUCGUAGAUAUUGGGAAGAACACCGGUGGCGAAGGCGGCGACCUGGUCCGAUACUGACGCUGAGGCGCGAAAGCGUGGGGAGCAAACAGG